CCUGGGUGACAGAGUGGGACUCUGUCUCAAAAAAUAAUUUUAAUGAAACCUGCCUCCCAAACAUUAUAUUGCAGCAAUCUUAGAAGAAUGCACCACCUCUGGAAUAGAGAAGCAGUUGGGAAAGAAGUGUUUCAUGUUUCCUACACCUGGGCAACAGGCAGGCCCCUGACAACCACAAGUAAUUCUUUCCUGAGAGCCGGGAUCUUGCAACAGCUUGUCAUUAGUGCUGUUUAGCAUUUAAUUUGCCUUUAGUUAGGUAACAAGCAUUUAUGGAUUACCUGUUAGGAACGAAUGCACAGUAUGGGAACAGAGGGAUGAAUGAGGCACAGACUCUGCUCACAGCCUACUUGGACUAGAAAUAUCUACUCAGGAAAGAAAACUUGAAAGCAGUUAGCAAAUGCAAACCGAUAUACCACUACAGGGAAUCAUCACUCUUUCCGAAUUCAAGGCUCUAACUGCUGGCACACUUCUAAGGAAAAAAGAUAUGCGUUUCUGCAUCCCGUCUCAUGAUGGGAGUGAAGAUAUGCCAGUCACGCCUUCUGUGGGCUAAGGAACGGUCCGGCCUUCUCUUCCUCUGCAGAGUCCGGGCGUGAUGGAGACGCAGGAUGGAGGCAGCCAUCACCCAUUGAAAAACAGCCUGUCUGCCAGAUCUGGUGACCCCCCCCUAAGGUCCUUGGUAAAAACUGAGGCCUAGUUGUGUCCAGGAUGGCAGUGAGCUGGGAUUCAUUCAUGGCAGCCCCCAGGAGAUUGCGUUUUUAAACCAGCCCAAGGCAUGUGGUGGACAUGGAUUGGCAGCACCUACAGAUAACGGGGAAGGCUUUCCAAGGGGCCAAACGGUCCAUAGCAGUUAGGGAAGCGAACGUUAGAAGUGCAGGUCAAGGUCUCAGAGUGAGCAGUGUGGCUGGGCCAGAGAGGGCCUUCCAAGUGCAUAGCCAGUGGAGGCAGCUGGACACAGCUGACAUGACAAGGCAAGGCUGGAUCCGUCAGACUCUGGGAAUGCUCCCAGCCAUCAGGCUUCACGGAGCACUGCUUCUGUGCUAAGUUCCUGAUGCCAAGGAAAGUGAGAGAGACAUGGCCCUGGCCUCAAGAAGCUUUCCCGGCAGAUGGCCGUGUAUCCGGGAUAUGUUAAGGGAGGUGUAAUAUUAACCAAAAGUGGAGCUCUGAGCUCCUACCCUUGGCAGAGGGCUUCUUGGAGUAGAUCAUGCCUGGACUGUGCCCAAGGGCGUCUUGGAGUAGAUCGUGCCUGGAUCGCACUGAAUCAGUGUAAGCUGGGUCAAGUCGGGGAAUGGCAACCCAGGCGGAGGGAAGUGCAUACUUGGGACACGGAGGGCACAGACAAGCCGUGGUUCUCUGGCAGUGAGAUGGGUGCCAGGCCACAAACUGGAUCUGAGAGAUUAUUUCCCCAUCUGGGAACUGCAUGUACUAUGGAUUGUAAAGGGUCAACCUGAGAGACAGAAACAGGGAAAAGGCCCUCAACCAUUCACUUCAGUGUCUGGGGAUGCGUGGACUGGGGAAGAGUCUCUGGCUGGCUCCAAUGCGGUCUCUGCUUCUGCAGAGGGGGCCUUGCUCACACAGUCUUCAGACUUGCAUUCCCAGCUGGUGCCCAGCACCACGAAUAUAUGGGAAGAUAACAACUCUAAAGAGGGAUAAAAUGUAUUUUUUGGUCGGUUUUUAUUUUUCAAACACAUUUAGCAUUCUCUGGUUUUUAAAAAAUGCUUUUAAUAGAGCACAGACUCCUUUCCUCAGUGGUGAGGAGACAGAUUUAAGGGCUGUAGCUCAGACAGUCAGUGCCAGCUAGCAUUCAGGGAUCCAAGUGUGAGAAUCAAAUUGUCGUUUGAUGUGUGGAUUUGGCAAAGGCUCAGCACGCCUUGGAGACGGUGCCCGUGGCCCACACUGGGUGGCAGGUGCUUCUGCCUUGGGCUCUCUGCUCCUGCCGGCCGGGCCUGUCAUCGGCUGAAAAGCCGGCAUCUCCCACACCCAUCAGCUCCUCUCUGGAGCUGAGUCGCUGGACACUGUGACCACACUUAAGAGGCACAGCAUGCUCCUGCUGGGUGGAAUUUUAGGACACCUGGUCUGUGACCUCUUCAUUAUGACAUAAAAGGGACCUUCCCUGCAGUCCCACAAAUAGGAACAGAGCAGCACUGGAGCUGGCGCCCGACUCCCGGCAGGGAAGGGUUCUGUCCUCAUUUGGGCGUAUUCUGUUUCUGCCCACCUGGUGUGUGCCCUCCCUGACUCCUGCCCCAUUUCCAGACCCGGCUCACGCGUACUUCUCACACUAAGCAGUCUCACUGAAGCCACCGCUUGGAAUCUGCGGUGUUUACUGUCUGCCCCGCCCCUUUUGUUUGCCCGUUUGUUAUGGAGGUGUGUGUUUAAACGGGCAAAGCAGCGUGCUGCCAGGGACACCAGGAAAGCCCACUUAGCCAUCAACUGGAGACUCUGACAACUAGAAGAAACCUGGAAGGCCACGUGACAGAUAUGGAGACAGGCUGAGAGAAGAGUGGAAGAGGAUGUCAAUGGGCAGGAAUGGAGCCAAACUCUACGGGAGAACGGAGCUGGCCAGGCAGAGCUGCUGGACACCUGAGGCUCCCUCCUUCCACCACAAACACCACUGCCCCAUGGCCUAGAGAGCUCCAGGUGAGCACAGCCAGAACCAUGCUCAGAAGCCAGCACACGAAGGCCUGCAACUGCAGACCCCUAAGAAACCUUGGAGAUGCUCUCAGACAGUGCCCACCUCACUUUGCAGAUGGAGUGACUCACAGCUGGGACAAAGGUCCACUCGCUCUUGCCCCUGCAGUCUACCCACAAAGCAGCCAGGAGAGCUUCUAAAAAUGCAAAGCAGGUGGCGUUCUUCUGAAUAAGCCCUCCCAUGGCUCCCUAUCUUAGUACAAAAGCUGAAAUCUCAUGACCUGUGAGGCCCUCCAGCUGGCUCGCAGCCACCCCUCCAAAACCGAGUGCCUGCCAGCGCAUUGCCCACCCAGCUGCAGCCAGGCCCCCCACUGCUCAGCACCAUCUCCUCAGAGGCCCCCCCAUUCUUCCACGGGCAUGUUCCCUAUCCCCUUAGAGCACGCUUGGGCCUGAACUGAUCUUGGGUUCUGUCGCCUGUCUACCCCACUGGAAUGCAAACUCCACAGAGGCAGGGCUUUCUCUGUCCCCUGCCGCAUCCACAGUGCCGGGAACAGUGCCUGGCAUGGAGCAGGUGCAGUCGAAUGACCGACUCCAUGAAGUGAGGUGAGUCACCCACCACGCAGGGAAGAGUGGACAUGGGUAAACAGGCGCUGCCUGGGCUCCAGGCACACUGACUGCAUCCUGGCUGCUUGACUGAUGUGGUUAAUAAAUUACUAGAAGGCAAGCCCUCUAGGGCACAGCAGACUGGAUACUUGAUUAACCCAGGGUCUGUGUUAAUUCCAGGUGCCAAAAUAAUUUCUAGAAUUUCACCUGAGACCUAGAGGUAGUUCAUUUGAAAAUAAACAUGAUUUUCCAGAAGGCUCGAGCUUUCUCAAGGAAAGCAAUGCCCUGGACUCUCCUUCCACAGGAAAUCAGGAAGACAGGCUUUGGAAUUCCCAGUGGGGAAGCACAGUUGGAGGGGCCGGCCUCGGGCACCACAGUGCGCAACGCUGAACACAGGGCUCCCAGGCAGAGACUGGGAGGUCCCGACACCUGGACCCACAGGUGCACCCGCAUCUCCCAUGCUUUUACCCUUUCUCCUCCACCCCAUUUAUAGAAGUGAUCAGAGGUGAAUGAGGAAAUAGUGGGGGAACUGACCCCCUGGAAAGUCUGAAUUUGAGUGAAAUAAUGGGGAGAAGUGAACCCCUGGAAAGUCUGAAUUCUGCUUCAUCAAAGCCCAACACGGGCCUGUUUCCCUCUGCUGUCAACCCCAGGGAAUGGGGUGUCAA
rnacentral:lncRNA from 1 species